rnacentral:rRNA from 1 species
AAGUCGUAACAAGGUUUCCGUAGGUGAACCUGCGGAAGGAUCAUUAUCAAUAGAAAUCUUUCAAUAAACCCUCGAAAGAUCUUUUCCUUUGUGCUGUCUUUGACCGUAUGUAAUUUUGGGACUUUAAUAUGGUUUCCGUUGGUAAGACAACGGAGCCGGUCCCAAAGAACACAAAUAUCUCAUCCUAAAAUAUUCUGAACUUUUUAAGUGAUUUUAAUAAUCUGUUUAAAACAACUUUCAACAACGGAUCUCUUGGUUCUCGCAUCGAUGAAGAACGCAGCGAAAUGCGAUACGUAAUGUGAAUUGCAGAAUUCAGUGAAUCAUCGAAUCUUUGAACGCACAUUGCACUCCUUGGUAUUCCGAGGAGUAUGCCUGUUUCAGUAUCAUGAGCACCCUCCCGCCUAACCUUUGGGUUUUUGGCGAGGAAUUGGAAUGCGCCGACUCUUCACAGGGUUGGCACUUCUAAAAUGUAGUUCUUGACUGUCACCUAAUACAGCAGUUUGNCCUAAUAGUUUUGGCAUUUAUUGUCAAAUCUUUGGCUAACAUUUGCUCCNGGAGACAGGCUUGAUAAAUACAGAAAAACUCANUCAAAUUUGAUCUGAAAUCAGGUAGGGCUACCCGCUGAACUUAAGCAUAUCAAUAAGCGGAGGAAAAGAAACUAACAAGGAUUCCCCUAGUAACGGCGAGUGAAGCGGGAAGAGCUCAAAUUUAAAAUCUGGUUUGCUUGCAANUCCGAGUUGUAGUCUGAAGAAGUGUUUUCCAUGGAAGCUGAGGCACAAGUCCUUUGGAACAGGGCAUCAUAGAGGGUGAGAAUCCCGUCCAUGGCCUCAAGUCUUUUCAUUUUGUGAUACGCUUUCUAAGAGUCAGGUUGUUUGGGAAUGCAGCCUAAAAUGGGUGGUAAAUUUCAUCUAAAGCUAAAUAUUGGCGAGAGACCGAUAGCGAACAAGUACCGUGAGGGAAAGAUGAAAAGAACUUUGAAAAGAGAGUUAAAAAGUACGUGAAAUUGUUGAAAGGGAACCGUUUGAAGCCAGUCUUGCUUACUUGUGAUCAGUCUUUGCUUCGGCUUGGAUGCACUCUCAGGUUAUGCAGGUCAACGUCAGUUUGAGAGGUGGGAAAAAAGCUUGAGGAAUGUGGCCUUCGGGUGUUAUAGCCUCUUGCUAAAUACCGUCUUUUGGACUGAGGCUCGCAGCAAAAAAGUGGGCAGGUUUGCGUUUGAUGUGAUCCAUUAUCAAGACAGCUUGCUGACUUGGUUUUGGUUAUCCUCACUGUAGGCUUUGCUUCUAAUUUGCUUAGGUCGUUGACAUAAUGGCUUUAAAUGACC